GCACUGCUGAGGAGUCCCACAAUAGGACAAAACAGCUGUGCAGUGC
rnacentral:hammerhead_ribozyme from 1 species